AUUGAACGCUGGCGGCAUGCUUUACACAUGCAAGUCGAGCGGCGGCGCGGGCUUUGUCCUUGCGGCGAGUGGCGGACGGGUGAGUAAUGCAUCGGAACGUGCCCAGUAGUUGGGGAUAGCCCGGCUAAAGCCGGAUUAAUACCGCAUACGACCUGAUGCUGAAAGCGUGGGACCGAAAGGCCUCGCGCUAUUGGAGCGGCCGAUGUCGGAUUAGCUAGUUGGUGGCGUAAAGGCCUACCAAGGCGACGAUCCGUAGCUGGUCUGAGAGGACGACCAGCCACACUGGGGCUGAGACACGGCCCAGACUCCUACGGGAGGCCGCAGUGGGGAAUCUUGGACAAUGGGGGGAACCCUGAUCCAGCCAUGGCGCGGGCGGGAAGAAGGCCUUCGGGUGGUAAACCGCUUUUGCUCGGGACGAAACACUCUGGGUUAAUACCGCGGGGGGAUGACGGUACCGGCAGAAUAAGCACCGGCUAACUUCGUG
rnacentral:rRNA from 1 species